rnacentral:rRNA from 1 species
AGAGUUUGAUCCUGGCUCAGAUUGAACGCUGGCGGCAUGCCUUACGCAUGCAAGUCGAACGGCAGCGCGGGGCAACCUGGCGGCGAGUGGCGAACGGGUGAGUAAUAUAUCGGAACAUACCCUAGAGUGGGGGAUAACGUAGCGAAAGUUACGCUAAUACCGCAUACGCACUAAGGUGGAAAGCGGGGGAUCGCAAGACCUCGUGCUCAUGGAGUGGCCGAUAUCUGAUUAGCUAGUUGGUAGGGUAAAAGCCUACCAAGGCGACGAUCAGUAGCUGGUUUGAGAGAACGACCAGCCACACUGGAACUGAGACACGGUCCAGACUCCUACGGGAGGCAGCAGUGGGGAAUUUUGGACAAUGGGGGCAACCCUGAUCCAGCAAUGCCGCGUGAGUGAAGAAGGCCCUCGGG